AUCGGUGCGUAAGACGCUCUGCUACCGACGAAUGGAUGCUACGGAGACGGCGUAUAAGGUGACAUGGAUCGAGUAGUGUCACCUCCCGUCCCGUAACUUACUGGCCAGGAGCCAGACCGAACCAACAUCUACCGUUCCGGAACUGAUCCCGUCACCGGGUAAAACUUGGUAACCUCCCGAGAUGACGUUCUGCCUAGGAGGACAUGUAGGAGCCGAGGCACAGGUGAGCUCAGGCCUACAUUCCGACUCCCGAGAAGACAUAUGAUAGCGAUGUAGUUCUUGACGACGAGGACUCCAAGUGUCUGAGUCGACGCAGCCUUGGAUAGCCUUCCGAACGCAGACAGCCAGCCGGUCAGUAUUCAAAAGCGAGCGCGGCCAACGAGGAAACAUGGAUGGUGACGUCAGAGGAGAGGAGAGGCGCCGAAUAGGCAAAUUCGAUUGUCAUCCGAAGAAUUGCGCCCUACACCAAUGUAGCCUGAUUAGGAGAGGGAAACGCCAAUCCGGGACGAUUUCCGAGAAAGAAGAUCCUGGACAUCAGCGCUCAACUCGUCCUACUCUGCGGCAUAUCGUUGUACAGACUGGACGUAUCGUUAGAUCCUUUCGAACCAAUUAAGAUCAUCCUUUUCCGAUUUCCCUCAUCUACCGUAUCGCUAUCGUUUUUCACCUUUCUACCGCUACCGUUGUGACUUAGAUUUACUCCAAUCCAUCCUUUAGUUUCACCAUAGAUAAUGGUUUCACAGUUUAUUGAAAUCUCGAGUCAUUAGUUAAAGUUUAUUAGUUAGAAUCAGUAAAAUCAGUGGGUGCCGAACUCCUUCAGUGAGGUUGAACACGGUUGAACUAUAUGCGGUUGUCUCUCAUUUUGGAGAGUAGAGAGCGACGCCGCCGAGAUUUUCCAGUUGCUUCCAACAACGAAAAGUCUUAAUUAAGGAUAAGACGAGGUCAAGUAUCCAUGGCGUAACGAAGUUCACAAGAAAUAUCUUCCUGGCUACUUUCCGUGAGGAUAUAGAAAUUUAAAAGAAAAAUCUAAUCCAGAGUAGCAUCAACACUCCAAAAUCCUUGAAUGAGUUUAUAAGUUGCAAUGAAUUAUUAAUUCAAAUUUUUACUAGACUAUGAGACGAUGCAAUUUUAAAGCAAAACCGUUUCGUUUGUUGUUUUUAAAAAAAUAAUGAUUAUUUUUGCUACUCACACUAUGGUCACUAUCAUAUAUCUAUGUUACUACCAACAUCAUUAUUAAUCUUUGUUUUAUCGUUAUCAGUUUUCUUUACGCAACGGUUCCUAAGAUCCAUAAAUAAUGAUAAUUAAAAUUGAAACAUCGUAAUGCACGGAUGGAAUUAUACAAUCGUGAAAAUAAAAAUAGAAACUGAAUGGAAUAAUCUAAUUUAUCCAUGGUUCUCGAGUGAUUCUCUCUAUGUACAUACACAAACCGUGAUCAUAAGUGGAGCAUGUAAACAUUGCGCGAUUUGAUUUAGGUUCGCGCAAAAUAUCCCUAGUCGAAUUUACAGCAGCGCCACAGCAGAGGUCGGGGAAUCCGGCGCCGCUCGCUCCCAUAGACCGCCCGCGAUCUGUCAUGAUCCACGGCGUGUUAACCUCACGAAACUGACACAGCCAUUCAACGAUGAUUUAGCGAUGAACGAGACGCGUUAGCAGUCUGAAGCAGUUAGCAGUUAGAAGUUAGCAUGCAAUUAUCCUUAAUGCGUCUCGUUUAUUGUCCUUUUCUUACAACGCUCAUUUCGAAUGCACCAAUGACAAGUGUUUACUCUGUCAUCGACGGAGAUCAUCCUAUCCCAUGUAAUUCACCAUAUCAUUUCUCUGACCAAAAUAAGAACAUCAGUCGUGAUUUCUACGAUAUCAUCGAGGGAUAGAUUCUAAUAUUUUCGGUAAACACGCCGUGGAUCAUGACAGAUCGUCGCCGGUCGAUGCGAUCCCCCCACCUCUGCUGUGGCGCUGCUGUAAAUUCGACUAAGGAUAUUUUGCGCCAACCUAAAUCAAAUCGCGGAGUGUUUACAUGUGCCACUUAUGAUUAAGGUUCGUGCACAUACAUAUCAAUAAAUAAAUUUCGAACACUAGUUCUCGUACUCGGGAUAUCAUAACAUGGUCACAAUAAUAACCCUAGAUCGGCACACUUCCGCAUCCGAUCAUUAACGGUACACUGGGUGUCACACACCCAGUGUAGAUACCGUUCUGGAUGGUUCUAGGGACAAUAUGAGGUUGGGAAUAUUCGAGGUACCCAUAUUGUUCACUACAACAAAGUCGUUGA